rnacentral:rRNA from 1 species
UACGGAGGGUGCAAGCGUUAUCCGGAAUCACUGGGUUUAAAGGGUGCGUAGGCGGCUUGAUAAGUCAGGGGUGAAAGCUUCCCGCUCAACGGGAGAACUGCCCUUGAUACUGUCAGGCUCGAAUUGGGUUGAGGCGGGCGGUAUGUGGCAUGUAGCGGUGAAAUGCUUAGAUAUGCCAUAGAACACCGAUUGCGAAGGCAGCCCGCCAAGCCUUGAUUGACGCUGAGGCACGAAAGCGUGGGGAGCAAAAGGG